ACGAACGUUGGCGGCGUGGAUUAGGCAUGCAAGUCGAACGCGAAUCCCUGGGCAACUGGGGAGGAGAGUGGCGAAAGGGGCAGUAAGGCGUGGGUAACCUACCCUCCGGGCCGGGAUAGCUUCGGGAAACUGAAGGUAAUACCGGGCGACGCAGCGAGAUCGCAUGGUCUUGCUGCCAAAGGUCCGCCGCCGGGGGAGGGGCUCACGUGGUAUUAGCUAGACGGCGGGGUAACGGCCCACCGUGGCAAAGAUGCCUAGCAGGUGUGAGAGCACGACCUGCGCCACUGGCACUGAGACACUGGCCAGACACCUACGGGUGGCUGCAGUCGAGGAUCUUCGGCAAUGGGCGCAAGCCUGACCGAGCGACGCCGCGUGUGCGAUGAAGGCCUUCGGGUUGUAAAGCACUGUCGAGGGGGAGGAAGCCGCAAGGUUGACCUAUCCCUGGAGGAAGCACGGGCUAAGUUCGUG
rnacentral:rRNA from 1 species